AUUGAACGCUGGCGGCAUGCCUUACACAUGCAAGUCGAACGGCAGCACGGGAGCAAUCCUGGUGGCGAGUGGCGAACGGGUGAGUAAUAUAUCGGAACGUGCCCAGUCGUGGGGGAUAACGUAGCGAAAGCUACGCUAAUACCGCAUACGAUCUAUGGAUGAAAGCGGGGGAUCGCAAGACCUCGCGCGAUUGGAGCGGCCGAUAUCAGAUUAGGUAGUUGGUGAGGUAAAGGCUCACCAAGCCGACGAUCUGUAGCUGGUCUGAGAGGACGACCAGCCACACUGGGACUGAGACACGGCCCAGACUCCUACGGGAGGCAGCAGUGGGGGAAUUUUUGGGACAAUGGGCGCAAGCCUGAUCCAGCCAUGCCGCGUGCAGGAUGAA
rnacentral:rRNA from 1 species